rnacentral:rRNA from 1 species
CCUACGGGUGGCAGCAGUGGGGAAUAUUGCACAAUGGCGGAAACCCUGAUGCAGCAACGCCGCGUGAGUGAAGAAGUAUUUCGGUAUGUAAGGCCCUAUCAGCCGGGAGGAAGAAAGACGGUACCUGACUAAGCAGCGCCGGCGAACUACGAGCCAGCAGCCGCGGUAAUACGUAGGGGGCACGCGUUAUCCGGAUUUACUGGGUGUAACGGGAGCGUAGACGGCUGUGCAAGUCUGAGGGGAAAGCCGGUGGCUCAACCGCGGACGUGCUUUGGAAACUGGAUGGCUUGAGUACUGGAGAGGCAGGCGGAAUGCGUAGUGUAGCGGUGAAAUGCGUAGAUAUUAGGAGGAACACCAGUGGCGAAGGCGGCCUGCUGGACAGAAACUGACGUUGAGGCUCGAAAGCGUGGGGAGCAAACAGGAUUAGAUACCCGUGUAGUC